GGCGUGCCUAACACAUGCAAGUCGAACGGUAACAGGUCUUCGGAUGCUGACGAGUGGCGCACGGGUGAGUAACGCGUGGAUAUCUGCCUAUUAGUGGGGGACAACUUGUGGAAACGCAAGCUAAUACCGCAUAAUCCCUACGGGGGAAAGCAGGGGACCUUCGGGCCUUGUGCUGAUAGAUGAGUCCGCGUCUGAUUAGCUAGUUGGUAGGGUAAAGGCCUACCAAGGCGAUGAUCAGUAUCUGGUUUGAGAGGAUGAUCAGACACACUGGAACUGAGACACGGUCCAGACUUCUACGGAAGGCAGCAGUGGGGAAUAUUGCACAAUGGGCGCAAGCCUGAUGCAGCGACGCCGCGUGUGGGAAGAAGGCUUUAGGGUUGUAAACCACUUUCAAUUGGGAAGAAGAGAUGAGAGUUAAUAACUUUCUGAUUUGACGGUACCUUUAGAAGAAGCACCGGCUAAUUUCGUGCCAGCAGCCGCGGUAAUACGAAAGGUGCAAGCGUUGUUCGGAUUUACUGGGCGUAAAGAGAGUGUAGGUUGUUUAUUAAGUCGGAUGUGAAAUCCCGGGGCUCAACCUCGGAACUGCAUUCGAUACUGGUAGACUAGAGUUCGGGAGGGGUAAGCGGAAUUCCGUGUGUAGCAGUGAAAUGCGUAGAUAUACGGAGGAACACCUGAGGCGAAGGCGGCUUACUGGACCGAUACUGACACUGAGACUCGAAAGCGUGGGUAGCAAACAGGAUUAGAUACCCUGGUAGUCCACGCCCUAAACGAUGUCAACUAGCCGUUGCGGGUAUCGACCCCUGCAGUGGCGAAGCUAACGCGAUAAGUUGACCGCCUGGGGAGUAC
rnacentral:rRNA from 1 species